ACUCAAAUGAAUAGACGGGGGCCCGCACAAGCGGUGGAGCAUGUGGUUUAAUUCGAUGCAACGCGAAGAACCUUACCUACCCUUGACAUCCUACGGAGAUUGCAGAGAUGCGAUUGUGCCGCAAGGCAUGUAGAGACAGGUGCUGCAUGGCUGUCGUCAGCUCGUGUUGUGAGAUGUUGGGUUAAGUCCCGUAACGAGCGCAACCCUUAUCCUUAGUUGCCAUCAUUUAGUUGGGGACUCUAAGGAGACUGCUGGUGAAGAACCGGAGGAAGGUGGGGACGACGUCAAGUCAUCAUGGCCUUUAUGGGUAGGGCUACACACGUGCUACAAUGGGCAGUACAGAGGGUAGCGAAACUGAGAAGUGGAGCCAAUCUCGAAAAGCUGUUCGUAGUCCGGAUUGAAGUCUGCAACUCGACUUCAUGAAGUCGGAAUCGCUAGUAAUCGCGAAUCAGCACGUCGCGGUGAAUACGUUCCCGGGCCUUGUACACACCGCCCGU
rnacentral:rRNA from 1 species